AUUGAACGCUGGCGGCAGGCCUAACACAUGCAAGUCGAGCGCGCGGCGGACGGGUGUGUCAUGUCUGGGAAACUGCCUGAUGGAGGGGGAUAACUACUGAAACCGGUAGCUAAUACCGCAUACCAUCAGAUGUGCCCAGAGGGGAUUAGCGAUUAGGUGGGGUAACGGCUCACCUAGGCGACGAUCCCUAGCUGGUCUGAGAGGGUGACCAGCCACACUGGAACUGAGAGACGGUCCAGACUCCUACGGGAGGCAGCAGUGGGGAAUAUUGCGCAAUGGGCGCAAGCCUGAUGCAGCCAUGCCGCGUGUAUGAAGAAGGCCUUCGGGUUGUAAAGUACUUUCAGCGGGGAGGCGUUACCCGCAGAAGAAGCACCGGCUAACUCCGUGCCAGCAGCCGCGGUAAUAC
rnacentral:rRNA from 1 species